AACAUGUAUCUGUUAUUCAAUACAGUCAUUUAUAAUUGAUAUAUAAUUAGGUUAUACUUCAAUAUAAUUUAAAAUCAAACUGCUUUAGGGUCAACAAAAACAGAUGUUGUGCAAUCUUCACUAAAACCUUAAAACAUCAUGUAGCCUACCUGAAACAGCUUCUGUGGUGAUGAACACAAGGCAGAUGACGACCAACAUCAAGCAUCGUAGAGACAUUUUUUGUUAUACAGAUGACACAUUAAUGCACUUUUACUCUGUUUAGUUUAGUUUAUUAAGACUGGAUGUAAGAACAAUUUAGAGGAAGUUUGAAAGCUGAAACCACACUGGAUGCUAUUGGUUGCUAAUGCUGAUGUUUAAUGUACAUACAUGGCAAAUGCUUGAUGUCAGACCAAAGUGUGUGUCUGUGUUCAGGAAGACUACCAACCACAACCUACAAGAUGCACUAUAUAUAGUUUAUGAAAAAUGACCACGAAAGAUGAUGGCAGGGCAGAUCUCACUCGCCAGGGGGCGCUCUGUUGUGUAAAGUUAUAUCUGUCUCGUAGAAUGGAUUGUGAAAAGGUUCUGGAACAUUUGCUGUUUUCAGAAGAGCAAUGAGCUGCCAAUACAGUCUCUUUUUUUAUUCCUCUUUGGCUUCAGUACUGCACUCACUGGUAAGUUAUGGUUUCAUUUUGUGUAGAUAUUUGAAUGAACUGAACUAAAACAGCCCCUUUUGCAAAUCUUAUACAUGCAAAUUGCUGCAGUUAGAGUUUGUGCACAUCCACCUUUACUAGAAGACACUUACAGAAAGUCAGAUACUGUAUAGGGAGAACAGAUGACCGUUUAACCGAUAAUAGUUUGAUAAUUACUAAUUUCACAUAUCAUUUAGGAUAGUGUAACAAGGAGUCAGAGACGUUCGGAUCCAUUUGCAGUAGUUUAAUAUAGAAUGGUCAAACAGGCAGUAAUUCAAUAACGGCGUCAAAUGUGUAAAGGGAUAUCCAGAAUCAGUAACAGUACCAGGCAGAGGUCGAGGCAGGCGGCAGAGAAUCAAAGGCGGUAUACGCAAUCCAAUAUCAGACACAGAAGGAACAAACACUAGGAAAAAUGCUCAGAAAUGCUAGACAGGGCUAAACAAGACUUCACAAUCAUUGAGAGUCCAAACACAGAAUAUAUAUAGGGGAGUGGUAAUGGGGAACAGGGAAUGGGGUAAGCCCUAAGCACGGGAUUAUGGGAAAUGGAGUUGGAAAUGGAAAUGGACACCAAAUGCUAGAGUCCUGAGUGGAGUGCCCUCUACUGGAGUUCAUGGGCACUCCAGCUGACAAUCGUGACAGUAGACUACCCCAAGCGCUUUCCAUGUGUGCAAUUUGAGACGGACUGAAACUCAGACAAAAACAGGCUACUUUGUGCUUUGUAUAAGUCAAAAUGUCUGUCUUGGUGAGUUUUAACUAAACACAGUCAUUGUGUCUUAAAGGGAUACUCAACCCCAAAAUGAAAAUUUUGUCAUUAAUCACUUAACCCCAUGUCGUUCCAAACCCGUAAAAGCUCAAUUCAUCUUCGGAACAUAAUUUAAGAUAUUUUGGAUGAAAACUGGGAGGCCUGUGACUGUCCCAUAGACUGCCAAGAAAAUAACAGUGUCAAGGUCCAUAAAAGGUAUGAAGGUCAUCAUCAGAAUACUCCAUCUGCCAUCAGACAGUAUGCUGCAUAUGCACUUCUUUAUCAUCCACACAACACAAGGAUGCGCUGUUUUCAUUCUAAUCAAAGCUAAAUACACAUAGAAACCCUUGUGGCUCGAAUGAUACAGAAGAGUGAUUAAUGACAAAAUUUUCAUUUUGGGGUGGAGUAUCCCUUUAAGUGGAAAUAAAGAGUUUGAAAUGUAAUCA
ensembl:lncRNA